UGGCCCUCUGCGUUCCGUCGCACCCUCUCAACUGCGAACUCUCAUCGUCACGCACCCUGAUGAGAGUUCCUCCAAAGUGAAGACUCUGGUAGAUGUCUCUCUGAGCAAGAUUCUUCUUUUAUGUUUCAGCCUUCUAAACUAUGGACAAACUCUGGUCUGUGAAGUCUCAUUCUCAUGUACUCCUACUGAGAUCACAGGUGUGCACGUCACAAUGGU